GACCACGUAGCUCAGUUGGCAGAGCAUUGGGCUAGCAUUCCAAAGGUCGUAGGUUCGAUUCCCACCGUGGUC
rnacentral:tRNA from 1 species